CUAAUUGCUGGAUACUCUACUGGGACUUCGGAGGAGGGAGAGGCACAGUUUGCCGCCCUUGAGACAGACCUGGCAUCGCUGUUGCAGAGACUCAGCAGUAGGGGUUCCCAGCCGAGGAAACGUGGCUCCUAACAGGAGCUCCCAUCUGUCCUCCGCUGCCCCCAGCCCCCAUCCUCCUCCUGCCCUGCUGCUGUGACUGUGUGGGGCACUCCCCCUCUCCCUCCGCUCCCUGGAUAGACCUGUGAUUUAUGCCCCUUCUCUUUUGGAGAGUUCUGACAGAGCCCUAUCACCCAGGCUUGGGAGGCAGACCCUGGCUCCCCCAUUUGCUAGCUGGGAGUUUAACCUCUGGGGCUUCAGUUCACUCCUCUAUAAAAUGGUG
rnacentral:lncRNA from 1 species